CUAGCGGCCACUCGGUCUCCGGCUACCGGUAGUUUGCGCGCGUCCUGGUCGAGCCAUCAGCCAUCUUGUUGGUACGUGUGGCUCGUCCGGCCAUCUCCAUGGCGACGGCCGUCUCACUCUGCCUCCCUCGCGCCCUCCUCCACACCUCCGCUCCUCGUCCAUCGUUCGACAGCCGCGUGUCCGUCUCAAGCGCCGGCUCCACACUCCCGGACGCGCGCCGUCUUUGUCGCCGUUCAUCGGCCGUCUCUGCCGCGGCAGGGGCUUCUCCGCCUGAAGCCGGCACCGCCGCGUGGGACGCCCUCGGCGGCGUCUCCGUCUUCGCCGCUGGCACCGGCGACGCCGUGCCGCUCAGCGACCUUUGGGACCCGUCCGAGGGGGUGGUCGUGGUCGCGCUGCUGAGGCAUUUCGGAUGCUUCUGCUGCUGGGAGCUGGCCUCUGAUCUGAAAAACUCCAUGCCGAAAUUCGAGUCUGCGGGCGCUAAACUGAUCGCCAUCGGCGUCGGGACCUCUGACAAGGCACGCAUUCUCGCCGACGGGCUGCCAUUUCCUGUGGAUAGCUUGUACGCCGACCCCGAGCGCAAGGCUUACGACGUCUUGGGCCUGUACCACGGAUUAGGCCGGACCCUCUUCAGUCCAGCUAGUGCUAAAAUAUACUCGAGGCUCGACUCCAUCAAGGAGGCGACCAAGAACUACACGCUGAAAGGCACACCGGCAGACCUGACGGGCGUCAUGCAGCAGGGUGGGAUGUUUGUGUUCAAAGGAAAAGAACUGCUGUACGCGUGGAGAGAUGAAGGCACCGGCGAUCACGCACCCUUGGAUGAUGUCCUCGGCAUCUGUCGCCAAGUUCCGGUUGCUUGACGUUUUAUCAGGCAGAUAUGUAUUGCACGGACCGAUCUAUUCGACGUCCCGGACAGACAGAAAAUGGACUCACAAGUUUCGCCUGUUUGUUUGAUAAGCCAUUGGUGGGCAGAUGUAUCAAAUUCUGCUCCGGAUAGCAUUUGCUGCUGCUCGUCAGAAAUAUGUUUUGUAAAUGUUAAAAAUAUCAAAUACUUUUGUAAAUGUUCUCGGCAUCUGUCGCCAAGUUCUGGUUACUUGACUUUUGAAGUUUCCC
rnacentral:rRNA from 1 species